GUGGGCAUAGCUCAGUGGUAGAGCACAUACUUAGUAUGCACGAGAUCCUGGGUUCAAUCCCCAGCACCUCCA
rnacentral:tRNA from 1 species